AUUGAACGCUGGCGGCAGGCCUAACACAUGCAAGUCGAGCGGAUGAAGGGAGCUUGCUCCUGGAUUCAGCGGCGGACGGGUGAGUAAUGCCUAGGAAUCUGCCUGGUAGUGGGGGAUAACGUCCUGAAACGGGCGCUAAUACCGCAUACGUCCUGUGGUAGCAUGUGGGGGAUCUUCGGACCUCACGCUAUCAGAUGAGCCUAGGUCGGAUUAGCUAGUUGGUGGGGUAAAGGCCUACCAAGGCGACGAUCCGUAACUGGUCUGAGAGGGAGAUCAGGCACACGGGAACUGAGAAACGGUCCAGACUCCGACGGGAGGCAGCAGUGGGGAAUAUUAGACGAUGGGCGAAAGCCUGAUCCAGCCAAGCCGCGUGUGUGAAGAAGGUCUUCGGAUUGUAAAACACUUUAAGUUGGGAGGAAGGGAAGUAAGUUAAUACCUGGCGGUUUUGACGUUACCAACAGAAUAAGCACCGGCUAACUUCGUG
rnacentral:rRNA from 1 species